ensembl:lncRNA
UAUUACUAUACAUCUGUUCUGUGCUGGGCCUAGACUUUUUCUAAGCUGAGCAAUUAAGAGUUCUUAAGAGUUCUCAAAAGUUCAGGUGUCAGAACAGUUAAGCUCUUCAUUACAUGUAAGAUGAAUAAACUUCACAGUCUCUUAAAAAAUAGCAAAAACUGAGAGUGGGCACAAAACAAUGGGAUUGCCAGGCACCUAAUAAAUAUUGUCCUAUUACAUUGUAAAAGUGUUCUCAGCACUGUGCAGCCGUUAAGUAUCUGAAAUAUCUUCCAGACACUAUCCAUGCUGCCUCUGUUAUCCUGAUUCACAUCAGUUACAUUGACUGCUGCAACUGCAAGGGUUUGUUCCUUCCUAGCAGAAAGGAAGAGAAGCAAGAUAGACUAACGUUUCUCAGCUCCAGAUACACUCUUUAGUAUGAAUCAUCGAAUCAUUAAGGUUGGAAAAGACCAAUAAGAUCAUCUAGUCCAACCAUCAACCCACCACCAUCAUGUCUGGUAAAUCAUGUCCUUCAGUGCCAUAUCCAAACAAUUCUUGAACACCUCCAGGGAUGGUGACCUCCUUAGAUCCAGAGGGAGAAUAGAUGAUAGUGAAGACCAGUGGCUAUAUGGCAGGGAAGAACAGAUUUGGAGGUGCUGAAAAGCAAUAAUCUAGGCAACAAAUCUCAGCAUAUAGUGUGGUAGCAGUGCUUCAUUCUCCAGCUAGCAUCGAGAUAGUACAAAUCUGUUUUCUCAGUCUUUUUCUUUGUUGCUGUACUUCAAAUAAAGUCAACUUUGCUUCCAUGAGGGAACUGUGUGUGACUGAGAUUGCAAUGGAAACUUUCUAUCUAUGGAAAUACAGUUAUACCAACCUUGCUGGAAGCAAUGCUGUGUCUUUUUUGUGCCAUGUCUUCACCCAUUACUAUUCAUAGCCAGAGACACCAGCAGAUCUAACUGUCUUGGCACACUUUUUGUGCAGUUUUGGUAAUUUAGCUGGACUUGGUCAUUAAGCAAGCAAAUUUCCAACAGUUAGAGAGCUGAGUGGUUGUGCAGUGUCUGCUGCUGCUCAAAAUGCAGGCACUAAAAACAAUGGAAUGAUAUCUGCAUCCCUGUGCAAAAUGAGCCUGACUUGGAAGCACCACCUUGCCUCUUCCUUCACUGACGUAAGUAGAGAACUGGUGUAAGUACAAGACAUUGUUGAAUAGACCCAGGAAAUAGAUCCAUUUUUGGAUGCAAGGAUACAAUCCCUACACAGACGUGGAAGACAGUCCAGGCCCUGUGUCAUUUUGUUCCUUGCCAUGUAUUCUGAACAGCACAUAAGUAAAUAGGUCUAAAAGCCACUGGACACAGUACACAGGCUGGCUAUCAGAGCCCGUCUCCAGACAGCUCUGCACUCCCUUGGUUUGAAAUAAUUCUGUUUGCAAGUGAAAGAAACAUUCCUAGCCUUCAAGCAGCUCUGACGCAUUCCAAGUUUAACAGUCUGUGGAAAAAAGAGAAGCAUGAGGACAGCUUACAUUCUGGAGCUGAGGAUAAAGAAAUUCAGAUCAGAAUCCAAUGCCAGGGUAAGUUUAUACAUGGAUGCUGUAGACUUGCUGUCACUUGCAGCUUGAAGUUGCAGCUGGCUUUCUGAAAAGGUGCUGGGGUUCAAAUAGUCGCGCUGGGCUUGAUGCAGAAAUUGCACUGCGCUGCUCCAUGGCUUGUUCUAUGCAUAUGGGAAAACAUGAUUCAUAUCUAGCCUUAAAAUCUUUGGCUCUG